rnacentral:lncRNA from 1 species
GCUCUUCAAAAUGGCGCGCCGCCGAACAUUGAUGACGCCAAUGCGGGUUCGAACGCCCACCGCGGUGACAAUGGAGCGGAAGAGGUAUUUUCGUUGAUUCAGAUCUCUCCUACCUUAACUUUCUGAAUCUGCUACUUCUCCAUUUCGUGUAUGGAUUUUCGUUCUGUUUGAAUCGUAUUACACUUUCAGUAGCGUUGUUGAAUAUAUAAUGGUGAAUCGACCUCUAGCUUCUAGUAAUGUUGAGCUGAUUGUAACACCAGGCUUAGCAAUUGUCAGUAGGGAUCGUGCUUGUUUAGUUUGAGUUAAGCCAGUGGUCAUGAGAAGGGCUUCUCUUCAGCUGUAUACAAAGAGAGGUGAUCCCAUCUUGUUAUUCACCCAGACACUCUCUAACCAUGCCACCGUUCACAUCUAUAUUACUUGUGAUGAAAUUGUACUAAGUAAUAGGAGUCCCAAUUGCUCAGGGUUGAUACCUGUGAAUGAUUAAUUACCUCGUGUUUCUAUACAGGGUGACAUGAAAGAGGAAAUCAGCCGAUUACACAAGGAAAAUGAAUUGCACACACAGAAAGAGGUGUGAACAUGUGCUAUUAUGCACAAAUUUCCGUGCUUUCCUCCCUACAUGAAAGUAGGUUUUGAAAACAUAUCUGAUAAUUGCCACUUUGCAGGCGGACCUAGAGGAGAAGAUCAAAGAGUUAAAAGAUCGAAAUGAUUCACAUGUACUGAAGCAGGUAAGCCGAUGUGAAAAAGGCUGGCCGAGUAGAAUAAAUGUGUCUUUGGUCUUUUGACACAUUGCUUUAACAGGCUUCUCUGGAAGAUGCAAUCAAAGCAUUGAUAAGUGCAAAUGAC